CUACGGGGGGCACCAGUGAGGAAUUUUGCGCAAUGGGGGGAGCCCUGACGCAGCAACGCCGCGUGAGUGAUGAAGGCUUUCGGGUCGUAAAGCUCUGUCAAGUGGGAAGAACCUAUGCAGUGUUAAUAUCACUGUAUACUGACGGUACCACUGAAGGAAGCACCGGCUAACUCCGUGCCAGCAGCCGCGGUAAUACGGGGGGUGCAAGCGUUAUUCGGAAUCAUUGGGCGUAAAGGGCACGUAGGCGGCUUGGUAAGUCAGAUGUGAAAGCCCGGGGCUUAACCCCGGAAGUGCAUUUGAUACUGUCAGGCUUGAGUAUGGAAGAGGGAAGUGGAAUUCCUGGUGUAGAGGUGAAAUUCGUAGAUAUCAGGAGGAACACCGGUGGCGAAGGCGACUUCCUGGACCAAUACUGACGCUGAGGUGCGAAGGCGUGGGUAGCAAACAGGAUUAGAUACCCGCGUAGUC
rnacentral:rRNA from 1 species